UACAGAGGUCUCGAGCGUUAGGCGGAAUCACUGGGCUUAAAGCGCGUGUAGGCGGCCCGGUAAGCCCGCUGUGAAAGUCCAGGGCUCAACCCUGGGAUGCCGGUGGAUACUGUCGGGCUCGAGUCCGGAAGAGGCGAGUGGAAUUCCUGGUGUAGCGGUGAAAUGCGCAGAUAUCAGGAGGAACACCAAUGGCGAAGGCAGCUCGCUGGGACGUAACUGACGCUGAGACGCGAAAGCGUGGGGAGCAAACAGG
rnacentral:rRNA from 1 species